rnacentral:lncRNA from 1 species
GAGUAAGACAAAUACCUGGUGCAAAUGUUUUUAAAUCAUGAAUUGUUGUCUAUUGUGAUGACUAGAAUCAAACUUGAGACUAGCUUAAUAAUACCAAAAAACUUCACUAUGGAUAGUGUAGAAGAAGCUGGCUUGGUAGUAUUUAGAUUAGUGACAAAUGAAUUCAUGCAAGGAUGGAGCAAAGUAUGAGCUAAAAACCUAUU